ensembl:lncRNA
AGGGCAAGCCACUAAAGUAAGAGUGUCUCUUGGACCUGGGCUGCUUCCAGAAGAGGGGUGCUGUAUAGUUAGAGUGCUCCUUCACCGCUUGGUUUACCACUUGGUGCCUCAUGAGAAGUUGGUAUGGCUGUCCCAUGGCCAUCUCCAGAGUAUUGCUUGCCAGCUUUUUCUGUACCCAUUCCACAGCUGAAUCUCUUGGGUAGAGCAAGAACGUGUACUUGUGCUCCUUACAACAUGGCCUUGGGUAGUAGAAAGGUUUAUACAUCCCGUAUGGAACUUUAUGACUUCAGAUAAACUUGUAAGAGGAGCCAGAAAGGAAGACGUGAGGCUGAUGUUAUUCAGGAGGCAUGUGGACAGGUAUCCUUCCUCUACUCUCAGCAGUAUCUGCAGCUCACCUGUUGGGCAGCUGCCCUGAAAUCUCUCUAGGAGGAGGCCAAAGGAGUUCAUCACUAUGGAGCCAGCCAGACUUAAUGCUCCUUGAUAUCGUGGCUUUGAACUGUUUCAUGUUCUUGUUUGUUUGUUUCUUCACUCCAGAUUGGAGGACUUGCAUUUGGUGUUUCUAAUACCGCAUUCUGAAGAAUGGAAAAUCAAAAUAAGUCCUAGAAAGAGGUGAAUCUGUUGAGUGGGAAAUGAUAUUAGAUGUUUAAUGUAACACCUCUUAUAUGUUUGUGUUGUAACAAGAGAUAGCCAGUCAAUGUGUAAUAAUAAUUUUCCAGUUUGUGUUAGCACAGUCUUGUAUUCUCACAGUUGUAAUUAAUGUCACCAUUGAGAUGAAAUUGUGAGAAGGCUAUGCUAGCCAAUUAAAAUGGUAAUAGGACUUCAAGAUCUGUUUGUGACCGUAUCGAUUUGCUUAAUGGAAAGUUUCUCCCUGACCUUUUCGAAGCACAUACUGUACUGUCUUCACUUUUUAUAGAUUAAUCUUGUGAAACAUUGUUUUAAAUUGUCACACAGUAAGCUUGUAGAAUUUUACAAAUUGCCCAAAAGAUGAUAAAAAUGACUGUGAUUUUGUGAUAAAGAGCUUUAGAGCACUGCCAGCAGAUCAUGAAAAGUGCCUCUAACAGUCUACUGGGAGUGCCCUAUGGCAGAGUGAAAAUUGCAGUGGAGCAAUUAGGAAAAGGGCGAUGUCUUUUAUUAAGACACAGGUAUUUGGUGGAAUACAUGUUUUAGAACUGUUAUGUAGCUGUAGCUAUAAAAGAAAAUUUAGAAUGGGAGAAAUCUGUAGUUGAUAAAGUAUAAAAUUUGGAGUAAAGAGAUCUGACAUUUGGAAGAAAGCAAACUCUAUAGCUGAGUCUGUUAAAUGAGAAAACUUCAGGAACUGGCUUUUCCUCAGAGGCAUUUAUUCAGAUAACAGAUAAGAACCUAAACCAAACUGGAGCCCAACUCCUCUCAAGCUUUACAAAUCUGAGCCUUCAGAUAGAAACCUAUGAGUAAGGUGUAAUGGGAUUUGAGAUUCCUAGAGGGAGAACAGUACUUGAGGAAUAGAUCGUGAAAGUAAAUUUUAAUGGUGGUGGGAAAAACGGCCAUUAAAUCUCAUAAUGGCAGGAAAUUAAUGUGAUUUCUUGAUUUUAAAAGAUUAAGGGAAAACAGUGACUCAGACUAGACAAUUGCUGGUCUAGAAAUUGUUUUACUCAGUCCAUUUCGACAGGUAAUUUCCAAACAUGUUUGCAUUAGCCUCCGUAUUACAUGAUGAAAUACUUGUUAGAUUUAGUGUUACGGUAAACCUUGUCAACAUAUUAAAAUGAAAAGCAAGCAAAAAUGAGUGGUGUUCUUACCAUUCAUUAUUAGGCAGAAGCACUGAAUCUCAUAAAAAUUUCUCAAAUAAUGUAUUUACAGAACUGAAGAUUUUCUGCUUCUACUGCUUUCCACCUUCUGCAGAUUCAGUCUAACUGAUAAAACAGAUAUGUAACACUAUAAGACGCAGUGAUGAAAGAUGGUAGUAUUUCCAAGCCUUGGCUUUGCAUUCAAACGGAAACCUGGGUCGUUGUAACAGCUCUCCACCUGUGUAUGUGCCCUCUUUGUAGUUCAUUCUACUUUCAGUGGUCACAAAUCAUGGACAGUUCUCAGCAAGAACGAAAUAUUCCAAAGUAUGCUGUGCAGAGAGUUGGUGCUUUUCCUCUAGGAGAGGUGAUGUUCAGACUUCACUUGGUGACUGCUGAUUUCCAGAGGCACUGCUGGUCACCUCAUCAGAUCUGAGGCCAUCUGAUAGAAUCUCUAUUUUGGGUCAUUACUGAAGGAUUUUUGUACAUUCAACCUCUCACUGAAAUUUAUGGUAACUUUGUGUAAUAACUGAAGGACGAUUGGCUUGUGACCAGGUUGGGUGCCCUGUUUUCACUCGAGUAGAACUCUAUUAAGUAUCAACUUCUGUUUUGAGAAUUCAUGUAUGAAGGCAGAUUUUCUCUCCAAUAUUCACGAGUUUGAAAGAGCAAAAUAUUUGCAUUUCCCCCCAGCAAACAGCUUGUCUGCUUGUAAUGACAGUUUUCCAUCUGCAAGAACUGCCUUUUUGAUUCCACAAACCACCUGAGGUGAAAAUGUAACUGACUUGCUUUUCUGAAAAACUGCCAAAAGUGAAAUCAUUUUGCCUGCAGCAAGAAAGGUUUUCAUGCUGCUAUAUGCUCCUAGUUUUCUAAAAACUACAUACUUGUGAUUUGAACAGAAAGAAGAAUAUCUCCGCAAAUUAACCUAUUCUUUUUGUGAAACAAGAUGAUACUUUUAUUUGUAAGUUCAGGUUUCAUAUUCACUGGAGAAAGUUGUGGUCAGUCAAAUUAGGCCUUCUCAGUACUAAAUAUAGGCUUCUAAGUCUGUAUUUAGGCAUAUACAUGCCCAAAAAGCUUGCAAAUAACAAAAUAAAGAGAAGAGCAGAUACAUAUUUUCAACUCCUUUAGAAGUUAAGAUAUUUUUAUUUACACUUAUUAAUACAUGUUUGAGUACAUACUUUAAUACAUUCAUAUCCCAAAAUACUUUGACCUGAAAAAUCAUACAUAAAUUACAGAUGUUCCAACUGGGGAGUGGGGAUUCAGAGAGGGAAAGGUGACGUAGGAGAACAAAAGAAAAAAGAAAAAAUAAAUCUGCAUGGUAAUGUUUGGACAACUUCAUCUUCUGACAGACUUCAAGACCAAACUCAAAUACGAUUAAUUAUUUUUAAAACAGUUCAGUUUCAUACUUGGAUUUUACACAAUGGCUUGGCUUAUUUCUUCCAAGUGCUGUGAUUGUCUUUACAGCAUCCUAACGGAUUUGACAAGUUAUGUCAUGUCUCUAAUCUGGUGCAGCAGAAGGAAGCUUACAAGACCUGGAAACCUGCAAGCUCCUUUCUGCAUGACCUAGACCAGUAACGUUCCUUCCCAACACCUG